rnacentral:tRNA from 1 species
GUGGCUGUAGCUCAGUUGGUAGAGUCCCGGCUUGUGGUGCCGGUUGUCGCGGGUUCGAGCCCCGUCAGUCACC